CGGAAACCCUUAAACAGUAAUAAAGGUUAUAACCCUAACAGCCGCCCCUCAUUUUCUCUGUAGCUCACCUCACGCCCCGCCAGAAUCUCAUCUCUCUGUAGCUCACCUCACGCCAAAAAUCUCAGCUCUCCGUACUGCUGCAGGCAGAGUUUUUGAUCAACAAAAUACCAAGCAACACUGAUCUGCUACCAAAAACCACCAGCCUUGAUCUCUGUGCGCCAUGGCCGAGACUCUUUUUCCAUCAAUCUCGCCCAUUCUCUUGCUUGCUCGUCUCCGCCAAUUUCAUAAACUUAGAUUUGUGAAUAUUUACCGGCAAUACAUGAGAAGAAGACGUAGAAAACGACACCAUUCUGGUUGUGGCUUUGCUUGCGGUAUUCAAGCACUUCUGCCACAUGCUGUGGCUGGACUGCUUAUAUCACCAAAAUGGAAUUUGGAACGGAAGGUUUUCGAAAGAUUUAGCAAAGUGCUAUUUUCACAUUCAAGUCUCGGUCGCAGCCCAAGACCAUUGGAACGGCCUAGUGCAAGUGCAAGUCCGGUUCCAAGCACAAAUCAUUCAGUGCUAUCUACACUUUCAAGUCCCAGCCACAACCCAAGACCAUUGGAAGGGCCAAGUCCAAGUCCAAGUCCGGUUCCAAGCACAAAUCUUUCAGGGAUAAAGCGAAAAGAGUUGACCAACUGCCUUCAAUACCUGCAACCUGAACAACCCGGGCUAUCUCAUGGUAGUGUCAUGCUUAAGGACCAGAUAGAUAACUUUUGCAAGAUUUGCCAAGUGCAGUGCUCGGGUGCCUUUAAUCUCAAGCAACACUUUAAAGGAAGAAAACACAAGGUGAAGGUAGAAGAGUUGGAACUUAAUAGGAAAUAUGAAGGAGAGAAAGCAAACCAGCUUCAAUGCUGUGAAUUGUGUAAAGUAACAUGCAUGAUUGAAACUUUAUUAAAGCUGCAUUUACAAGGAAAAAAGCACAAGGAGAAACAACAACUGGAAUCGUUACAACAUGGGGAAGAAAUCCCAAACCAACCGAAGUGGUGUGAAUUGUGUAAAGUAACAUGCAUGAAUGAAACUUUGCUGAAGCAGCAUUUCCAAGGAAAAAAGCACAAGGACACACUGCAAGAAGUGGAAUCAUUAAAACAUGGAGAAGAAAUCCCAAACCAACUGAAGAGGUGUGAAUUAUGUAAAGUAACCUGCAUGAAUGAAACUUUGAUGAAGCAGCAUUUUCAAGGAAAAAAGCACAAGCACAAGCUGCAAGAAGUGGAAUCAUUAAAACAUGGAGAAGAAAUCCCAAACCAACCGAAGUGGUCUGAAUUGUGUAAAGUAACAUGCAUGAAUGAAACUUUGCUGAAGCAGCAUUUUCAAGGAAAAAAGCACAAGCACAAACUGCAAGAAGUGGAAUCAUUAAAACAUGGAGAAGAAAUCCCAAACCAACCGAAGUGGUGUGAAUUGUGUAAAGUAACAUGCAUGAAUGAAACUUUGGACGAACCAUACUAUGAUGAGGAACUUUCUAUUCCCAAUUCUCCAGACAUCUCUGGAGCGGAAAGGCAACCUAGUCUCAGCAAUGGAUAUGAGCUGUAUAAUUCCAAGUUGAGUUCACAGGAUUUAUAUAUGGAAGAGGCAAACAGUAGCGGGAUGCAUGGGUCUCAUUACCAGGAUAAGAUAUCUCAGUACAGAACUCUUCCUUGGAUCUCUAUGAAGAUUCUGCUGGAGAAACCUCUCUUUAUAAUAGCAAGAGGAAUCAAAGAAUGAGCUCUAAGCAUGGUGUUGAAGGGAUGAGGAUUGAUUCUGUCACUGACCAUCGUGGUCACUAUGAUGGGAAAAUUGAAAGUGAGAUGCAUGAUUAUGCUAAUGUCAGCCCCAAUGUCAUCCAAAGGAGUGAAUACUUCAAAUUUAAGCCUCCAAAUUUGAUACCUAACCGCUUUGAGUUGCUUGACACAGAAGAGAGAGGGCUAUCUACAAGUAUGAAAAAGGAGGAGAUAGUUAAUCGAAAAUGGUAGGGUAUAAAAGAACAUGGAAACCAAGUUAAAUUAAAGAUGCAUUCAACAAAUGAAAUUAAAGUUCCAAAACGAGUCAGACAUGAUCUUCUGCAGCAAGACUAUGUGACAAAAGCACCAUUCACUGAAAUGCAAACACGGAAAUUUGAGCAAAGGAUCUGUCAUGGAGAUGCCUUCUAGCUUCAAUGAUGAUGAAACUGCAGAAAACAGAGCUCUUCCGAGGAAUUAGGUGCCAGUAGUUGAUUGAUGGUAGAAAGCUUUAGGGUCCUCAAAGCUAUGGCCAUGUACAGUUCAAUGGAGAAUCACUUUUUUGGUAGUAACAUGGGAAGCAUCGUUUAGCAUUAUAACUAUCAGCAGCAAACUUUUCAGUCAAUAGUGGCUACCAAUUGUUUUAGCAGUUGCAGGGUCACUGUUUAUAAGUGUAGAAAGAACUCCUUUUUAUUUUUUUAUUAAUUUGACUGCUUCACAGAGAAAAUGUUGCAGAUAAAAGUUUGUUUGUAAGAUUCUUCUUCUUGGAUCCACCAACUGUUCAGGGACUAUCGAAAUCAAAGCUCACAAAAACAACGCUGCCCUUUUGUUGUAUGAUGGUGGUGCUUUC